rnacentral:rRNA from 1 species
GAAUGCUGACAUAAGUAACGAUAAAGCGGGUGAAAAGCCCGCUCGCCGGAAGACCAAGGGUUCCUGUCCAACGUUAAUCGGGGCAGGGUGAGUCGACCCCUAAGGCGAGGCCGAAAGGCGUAGUCGAUGGGAAACAGGUUAAUAUUCCUGUACUUGGUGUUACUGCGAAGGGGGGACGGAGAAGGCUAUGUUGGCCGGGCGACGGUUGUCCCGGUUUAAGCGUGUAGGCUGAUUUUCCAGGCAAAUCCGGAGAAUCAAGGCUGAGGCGUGAUGACGAGGCACUACGGUGCUGAAGCAACAAAUGCCCUGCUUCCAGGAAAAGCCUCUAAGCAUCAGGUAACAUCAAAUCGUACCCCAAACCGACACAGGUGGUCAGGUAGAGAAUACCAAGGCGCUUGAGAGAACUCGGGUGAAGGAACUAGGCAAAAUGGUGCCGUAACUUCGGGAGAAGGCACGCUGAUAUGUAGGUGAAGCGACUUGCUCGUGGAGCUGAAAUCAGUCGAAGAUACCAGCUGGCUGCAACUGUUUAUUAAAAACACAGCACUGUGCAAACACGAAAGUGGACGUAUACGGUGUGACGCCUGCCCGGUGCCGGAAGGUUAAUUGAUGGGGUCAGCCGCAAGGCGAAGCUCUUGAUCGAAGCCCCGGUAAACGGCGGCCGUAACUAUAACGGUCCUAAGGUAGCGAAAUUCCUUGUCGGGUAAGUUCCGACCUGCACGAAUGGCGUAAUGAUGGCCAGGCUGUCUCCACCCGAGACUCAGUGAAAUUGAACUCGCUGUGAAGAUGCAGUGUACCCGCGGCAAGACGGAAAGACCCCGUGAACCUUUACUAUAGCUUGACACUGAACAUUGAGCCUUGAUGUGUAGGAUAGGUGGGAGGCUUUGAAGUGUGGACGCCAGUCUGCAUGGAGCCGACCUUGAAAUACCACCCUUUAAUGUUUGAUGUUCUAACGUGGACCCGUGAUCCGGGUUGCGGACAGUGUCUGGUGGGUAGUUUGACUGGGGCGGUCUCCUCCUAAAGAGUAACGGAGGAGCACGAAGGUUGGCUAAUCCUGGUCGGACAUCAGGAGGUUAGUGCAAUGGCAUAAGCCAGCUUGACUGCGAGCGUGACGGCGCGAGCAGGUGCGAAAGCAGGUCAUAGUGAUCCGGUGGUUCUGAAUGGAAGGGCCAUCGCUCAACGGAUAAAAGGUACUCCGGGGAUAACAGGCUGAUACCGCCCAAGAGUUCAUAUCGACGGCGGUGUUUGGCACCUCGAUGUCGGCUCAUCACAUCCUGGGGCUGAAGUAGGUCCCAAGGGUAUGGCUGUUCGCCAUUUAAAGUGGUACGCGAGCUGGGUUUAGAACGUCGUGAGACAGUUCGGUCCCUAUCUGCCGUGGGCGCUGGAGAACUGAGGGGGGCUGCUCCUAGUACGAGAGGACCGGAGUGGACGCAUCACUGGUGUUCGGGUUGUCAUGCCAAUGGCACUGCCCGGUAGCUAAAUGCGGAAGAGAUAAGUGCUGAAAGCAUCUAAGCACGAAACUUGCCCCGAGAUGAGUUCUCCCUGAGACUUUAAGUCUCCUGAAGGAACGUUGAAGACGACGACGUUGAUAGGCCGGGUGUGUAAGCGCAGCGAUGCGUUGAGCUAACCGGUACUAAUGAACCGUGAGGCUUAACCUUACAACGCCGAAG